rnacentral:lncRNA from 1 species
AGAGAAGAAAAAGAAGGUUGCCGCUGCGCCAGGAACCCUUAAGAAGAAAAAGGUUCCUGCGGUGCCAGAAACCCUUAAGAAAAAGCGAAGGAAUUUCGCAGAGUUGAAGGUCAAGCGCCUGAGGAAGAAGUUUGCCCUGAAGACACUGCGAAAGGCAAGGAGGAAGCUCAUCUAUGAGAAGGCAAAGCACUAUCACAAGGAGUACAGACAGAUGUACCGGACUGAGAUUCGCAUGGCUAGGAUGGCGAGGAAAGCUGGCAACUUCUAUGUGCCCGCAGAACCAAAAUUGGCCUUUGUCAUCAGAAUCCGAGGUAUCAAUGGAGUGAGCCCAAAGGUGCGCAAGGUGCUGCAGCUGCUCCGUCUCCGGCAGAUCUUCAAUGGCACCUUUGUGAAGCUCAACAAGGCUUCAGUGAACAUGCUGAGGAUCGUGGAGCCCUACAUUGCAUGGGGGUACCCCAACCUGAAGUCAGUAAACGAGCUCAUCUACAAACGAGGCUAUGGCAAAAUCAAUAAAAAGCGCAUUGCCUUGACAGAUAACUCCUUGGUUGCUCGAUCUCUUGGUAGGUUAUGCUUUGGGCGGGGGGGAUUGAUACUAGGCCAAGGUCAUGUUUUCUGGCCACACUAAACAAAUUUAUUUUUAUUUUGUAUGCAUGUGGGUGACCACCCAGAAAAGGUCUUCCUUAAUCACCCCACUACACUGUGGGGCUAGGUUCCCCCUGAAGCUCAGGGUUGCAUUUCAACCUGGCUGUCUGAACUGUUCCUGUGCAGGGGUCCCACCAUUUCUUAGGUUGGGUGUUGGGUCUGAACUCCUGGCGUCAGUCAUUCUCGUGCACCUCCAUCUCCUGAGCCGUUGUUUCCAACCUGGUCUCACUUAGGACAAAUCUUUACAUGUCUUAAGUUUGAGACAUUUUCUCUGUGUCUGACCUGGAAUUCAGGUUCCCUCCCACCUGAUAGGAUUAAAGGCCUGUGCCACCACACCUGUGUGUGUCUGUCUGUCUGUCUUUCUUUCUUUAAUGCCUGCGUGAUGGUUAAGUUCUCAUUGUGUCUGGAAUAUUUUAAAAAACUUGAUCUUGAUGUGUUGUUGCCAUGGUAAUCCUGCUCAGUACGAGAGGAACCGCAGGUUCAGACAUUUGGUGUAUGUGCUUGGCUGAGGAGCCAAUGGGGCGAAGCUACCAUCUGUGGGAUUAUGACUGAACGCCUCUAAGUCAGAAUCAAAAAAAAGAAAUAAACAAAAGAAAAAAAGAAAAAAAACUUGAU